rnacentral:misc_RNA from 1 species
AUUGGCAGCUUUUAUAUCACGAUGAAUAAUCUUAGGAUGGCAAUCCUCAUGCAGGUAUGCUAAUCCUUUUGCAGAACCCAAAGCAAUUUUCAAUCUCAUAGGCCACUCCAUAGUCGGUCGUCCUUUCGCAUGUAAAUGGAACUCGAGUGUAUUAUUCGGAACAAAUUCAUACACAAGCAUCAUCCUUCCCCCCGCAAUGCAAUACCCAACCAAUGUAACCAAAUGCUUAUGAUGCACACGGCUGAUAAUCUCAACCUCCGCCUGGAACUCGCGCUCACCCUGUCCGCUCCCAGCCUUCA